GAUGAACGCUGGCGGCGUGCUUAACACAUGCAAGUCGAACGAAGCACUUUAUUUGAUUUCCUUCGGGACUGAUUAUUUUGUGACUGAGUGGCGGACGGGUGAGUAACGCGUGGGUAACCUGCCUUGUACAGGGGGAUAACAGUUGGAAACGGCUGCUAAUACCGCAUAAGCGCACAGCAUCCCUUGAUGCAGUGUGAAAAACUCCGGUGGUAUAAGAUGGACCCGCGUUGGAUUAGCUAGUUGGUGAGGUAACGGCCCACCAAGGGGACGAUCCAUAGCCGACCUGGGAGGGUGACCGGCCACAUUGGGACUGAGACACGGCCCAAACUCCUACGGGAGGCAGCAGUGGGGAAUAUUGCACAAUGGGCGAAAGCCUGAUGCAGCGACGCCGCGUGAGCGAAGAAGUAUUUCGGUAUGUAAAGCUCUAUCAGCAGGGAAGAUAAUGACGGUACCUGACGAAGAAGCACCGGCUAAAUACGUG
rnacentral:rRNA from 1 species